CGCAAUGUCGCUUGUGUUUGAAUCGAAACCCAGAGCAGUUUGGGAAGAAAGGAUGGGGCUUAUUUGCAAAAGAAGGACAGCUAGAAUGACAAGCCAAUGCUAAAGCAGGUUGCACACACACACACACACACACACACCCCGGGCCGCCGGAGUCUCCUUGUAAAUUACGGGGAGGAGGGGUGCACAGUCCUUGGAUUGGGGACGAUGCUGAGAACAAACAGAAGCAUAAGGCGUAAGGAAGAGAGAAAAAUUCAAGACAGCUGUCCCGUUUCCGACUGGAAGAGUGGAAAACAGAUUUCAUGGGGAACAGAAGAGGAACUGUCGUGCCUCGAGCAUGUGGGAAGACUUUAAUGGGCUCAAAGAACUGAAACUCAACACGAUCUAAGGAAGAAAUUAUGCCCCAACUUUUUUCCAAAAGAACGUGCAUUAACAUCCAGUAUACAUAGCCACAUCUUCCAUAUUACUACAUCUACCAUCAAAGGAAGGGAGGCUAUAAUUAUAUACACAAGGCUGGCCACGAUGGAAUUUCUGACUUAGCUGCUGACUGUCUCUGUUCCCGGGGGCCUGUGGCCCACAGUACUCACGGUAUUAUUGUGUUUCCAGAUAGGCUGCUGUUGGUGUUUAAAAAUAUUAUCUUAGGGCUGCCUGGGUGGCUCAGUGGGUUAAGCCUCUGCCUUCAGCUCAGGUCCUGAUCUUAGGGUCCUGGGAUCGAGCCCCCACAUCGGGCUCUCUGCUCAGCAGGGAGCCUCGUUCCCCCUCUUUCUCUGUCUGCAUUUCUGACUACUUGUGAUCUCUCUCUCUGUCAAAUAAAUAAAUAAAAUAAAAGUAAAUAAAAAUAUUAUCUUAGAUGCUGGUUCCCCUGUGC